UUUCUGCACUUGUACCCGCCUGCAGAAUCUGCAUGGCUGGCGUUUCAGAUGAAGCUGGCUUGGCUGCAUUUUGGAUGGUGAUUUAAAGUGCUUCAUUGCCACUGAGUCAUCGCUGUGCUUAGACGAAUCGAUUAUGACUGCAUCAGGAUCCUCCUGGGGUGAAAAAAAUCUGAUGAAUACCUCAGAGUAGUGCCUGACAGAUCUGCAUGGGGAGAACACAUGUGAAUAAAGAGAAGAGGAAAUUACGUGCAAGGCUGAACAGCUUUCAGAGAAGCAACAU